AGUGAACGCUGGCGGCAUGCUUUACACAUGCAAGUCGAACGGUAACAGGUUAAGCUGACGAGUGGCGAACGGGUGAGUAAUGCAUCGGAACGUGCCCGAUCGUGGGGGAUAACGCAGCGAAAGCUGCGCUAAUACCGCAUACGAUCUGAGGAUGAAAGCGGGGGACCGUAAGGCCUCGCGCGAUCGGAGCGGCCGAUGUCAGAUUAGGUAGUUGGUGGGGUAAAGGCUCACCAAGCCAACGAUCUGUAGCUGGUCUGAGAGGACGACCAGCCACACUGGGACGGAGACACGGCCCAGACUCCUACGGGAGGCAGCAGUGGGGAAUUUUGGACAAUGGGCGAAAGCCUGAUCCAGCAAUGCCGCGUGCAGGGAGAAGGCCUUCGGGUUGUAAACUGCUUUUGUACGGAGCGAAAAGGUCCCCUCUAAUACAGGGGGCUCAUGACGGUACCGUAAGAAUAAGCACCGGCUAACUACGUGCCAGCAGCCGCGGUAA
rnacentral:rRNA from 1 species